rnacentral:rRNA from 1 species
UCGCCUGUUUAACAAAAACAUGUCUUUUUGAAUUAUAUAUAAAGUCUAACCUGCCCACUGAAAAUUUUAAAUAGGCCGCAGUAUUUUGACAUGUGCAAAGGUAGCAUAAUCAUUAGUCUUUUAAUUGAAGGCUGGAAUGAAUGGUUGGACGAAAUAUUAACUGUUUCAUUUAAAAUUUUUAUAGAAUUUUAUUUUUUAGUCAAAAAGCUAAAAUUUAUUUAAAAGACGAGAAGACCCUAUAAAUCUUUAUAUUUUUUUUUAUUUUAAUUAUAUAGAUUAAUUAAAUUUUAAUAAAUAAAAAUAUUUUAUUGGUGUGAUAUUAAAAUUUAAAAAACUUUUAAUUUUUUAAAAACAUAAAUUUAUGAAUAUUUGAUCCAUUAAUAAUGAUUAAAAAAUUAAGUUACUUUAGGAUAACACCGUAAA